UACGGAGGAUCCAAGCGUUAUCCGGAAUUAUUGGGCGUAAAGGGCGCGUAGGCGGCUUGGCAAGUGGAUGGUGAAAUCCCUCGGCUUAACCGAGGAACUGCCGUCCAAACUGCUUAGCUUGAGACCGGGAGAGGUGAGUGGAAUUCCCAGUGUAGCGGUGAAAUGCGUAGAUAUUGGGAGGAACACCAGUGGCGAAGGCGGCUCACUGGACCGGUACUGACGCUGAUGCGCGAAAGCGUGGGGAGCAAACGGG
rnacentral:rRNA from 1 species